GUCCACACUGUAACGUUGAUGACUCGCUGUUGGCGAUACACAGCCAGCGGCAGAGAGAAUCGUUAAGUCAUCCACCUGGGAGUACGCCGGCAACGGUGAACUCAAGGAAUUGACGGGUCCGGCACAAGCGGUGGAGCAUGUGGUUUAAUUCGAUGAUACGCGAGGAACCUUACCUGGGCUAGAAUGCCCUUGAUGGGUGCAGAGAUGCACUGUUCCGCAAGGACAAGGAGCAAGGUGCUGCAUGGCUGUCGU
rnacentral:rRNA from 1 species